rnacentral:tRNA from 1 species
GCCUGAGUGGCUCAGUAGGUUGAGCGUCUGGCUUCGGCUCAGGUAGUGAUCUCACGGUUUGUGAGUUCAAGUCCCGCAUCAGGCU